rnacentral:rRNA from 1 species
AUUGAACGCUGGCGGCAGGCCUAACACAUGCAAGUCGAGGCUAGCGGAGGACGGGUGAGUAAUGUAUGGGGAUCUGCCCGACAGAGGGGGAUAACUACGGGAAACGGUGGCUAAUACCGCAUACUAUCAGAUGAGCCUAGGUCGGAUUAGCUAGUUGGUGGGGUAACGGCCUACCAGGGCGACGAUCCCUACCUGGUCUGAGAGGAUGAUCAGUCACACUGGAACUGAGAAACGGUCCAGACUCCUACGGGAGGCAGCAGUGGGGAAUAUUGGACAAUGGGCGAAAGCCUGAUCCAGCCAUGCCGCGUGUGUGAAGAAGGUCUUCGGAUUGUAAAGCACUUUAAGUUGGGAGGCGUUACCAACAGAAAAAGCACCGGCUAACUUCGUGCCAGCAGCCGCGGUAAUAC